AAGCUCGUAGUUGAAUUUCGGGGUCAGUAGGUUGGUCAUGCCACUGGUAUGUACUGGUCUCACUGAUUCCUCCUUCCUGAUGAGCCGUAAUGCCAUUAAUUUGGUGUUGCGAGGAAUCUGGACUGUUACUUUGAAAAAAUUAGAGUGUUUAAAGCAGGCUAACGCUUGAAUACAUUAGCAUGGAAUAAUGAAAUAGGACGUUCGAUCUUAUUUUGUUGGUUUCUAAGAUUGACGUAAUGAUUAAUAGGGAUAGUUGGG
rnacentral:rRNA from 1 species